rnacentral:tRNA from 1 species
CAGGAGGUAGUUUAUUAAAAAUAAUGGCUUUGGGAGUUGUUGAUAUAAGUUUGAAUCUUGUUUUCCUGA